rnacentral:rRNA from 1 species
AAGAAAAGCAAAAUAUCAUGUGUUUAUAUGAACCUGUACCAGAAACCGACACAGGUAGGGUGGUUGAGGAGACCAAGGGGCGCGAGUGAACUCUCUCUAAGGAACUCGGCAAAAUGACCCUGUAACUUCGGGAGAAAGGGUGCCUUACCAUUUUUUGGAAGGCCACAGUAACAAGACCCAGGCGACUGUUUAUCAAAAACACAGGUCUCCGCAAAGUCGUAAGACAACGUAUGGGGGCUGACGCCUGCCCAGUGCCGGAAGGUUAAUUGCGGUGGUUAGUGAAUAACGAAGCCACCAAUCGAAGCCCCGGUGAACGGCGGCCGUAACUAUAACGGUCCUAAGGUAAAAUUCCUUGUCGGGUAAGUUCCGACCCGCACGAAAGGCGUAACGAUCUGGGUACUGUCUCGGAGAGAGGCUCGGCGAAAUAGAAUUGUCUGUGAAGAUGCGGACUACCCCCACCAGGACAGAAAGACCCUAUGAAGCUUUACUGUAGCUUGAAAUUGUUGCCGAGUAUAUCGUGCGCAGCUUAGGUGGGAGGCUUUGACGAUGCACUUCCGGGUGUAUAAGAGCCAUUAGUGAGAUACCACUCUCGAUAUACUCAGCAUCUCAUCAUAUACUUUUAGCAAGUUAUGAGACAGUUUUAGGUGGGCAGUUUGACUGGGGCGGUCGCCUCCUAAAAGGUAACGGAGGCGCACAAAGGUAUCCUCAGGCUGUUUAGAAAUCAGCUGUGGCGUGUAAAGGCAUAAGGAUGCUUGACUGCGAGACCUACAAGUCGAGCAGGGACGAAAGUCGGUCUUAGUGAUCCGACGGUUCCAUGUGGAAGGGCCGUCGCUCAACGGAUAAAAGUUACUCUAAGGAUAACAGGCUGAUCUCCCCCAAGAGUUCACAUCGACGGGGAGGUUUGGCACCUCGAUGUCGGCUCAUCGCAACCUGGGGCGGAAGUACGUCCCAAGGGUUGGGCUGUUCGCCCAUGAAAGCGGUACGCGAGCUGGGUUCAGAACGUCGUGAGACAGUUCGGUCUAUAUCCGGUGGAGGCGUUAGAAUAUUGAGAGGAUUCUUCCUUAGUACGAGAGGACCGGGAAGGACACACAACCGGUAUACCAGUUAUUGUUGCCAACGGUAAACGCUGGGUAGCUUUGUGUGGAGUGGAUAACUGCUGAAAGCAUCUAAGUAGGAAGCCCACCUCAAGAUGAGUAUUCUCUAAGGUCACGGUAAGAACAACCGUUAGAUAGGCGUUAAGUGUAAGUGCAGUAAUGUAUUCAGCUGAGACGUACUAAUAGACC